rnacentral:rRNA from 1 species
UGCAGUCGACGAUGAUGCCCAGCUUGCUGGGUGGAUUAGUGGCGAACGGGUGAGUAACACGUGAGUAACCUGCCCUUGACUUCGGGAUAACUCCGGGAAACCGGGGCUAAUACCGGAUAUGAGCCGCCCUCGCAUGGGGGUGGUUGGAAAGUUUUUCGGUCAGGGAUGGGCUCGCGGCCUAUCAGCUUGUUGGUGGGGUGAUGGCCUACCAAGGCGACGACGGGUAGCCGGCCUGAGAGGGCGACCGGCCACACUGGGACUGAGACACGGCCCAGACUCCUACGGGAGGCAGCAGUGGGGAAUAUUGCACAAUGGGCGAAAGCCUGAUGCAGCGACGCCGCGUGAGGGAUGAAGGCCUUCGGGUUGUAAACCUCUUUCAGCAGGGAAGAAGCGCAAGUGACGGUACCUGCAGAAGAAGCGCCGGCUAACUACGUGCCAGCAGCCGCGGUAAUACGUAGGGCGCAAGCGUUGUCCGGAAUUAUUGGGCGUAAAGAGCUCGUAGGCGGUUUGUCGCGUCUGGUGUGAAAACUCGAGGCUCAACCUCGAGCUUGCAUCGGGUACGGGCAGACUAGAGUGCGGUAGGGGAGACUGGAAUUCCUGGUGUAGCGGUGGAAUGCGCAGAUAUCA